CAGCUGCGAGUGAAUAUAAAGCAGGCAGAGAAAUGUGAAAAGGCAAGACUGGUCUAGUGUCCCAGCCUACAUCUUUCUCCUGUGUUGGAUGCUUCCUGCCUUCAAACAUUGGACUCCAAGUUCUUCAGUUUUGAGACUCAGACUGGCUCUCCUUUCUCCUCAAGCUUGCAGACAGCCUAUUGUGGGACCUUGUGAUCACGUGAAUAUACCAGAAUGCUGAACUGGACACUCUCAGAAUUGCACAUUCUUCCAACCAAGCACAGCCUAUAAACCAAUGAAGUCUGAUGCCACAAAGAAGAAACAUUUAUUUGAAUGCACUGUUUUAUCUCCCUAAAAUAAUAAAAUGAAUUCUAUUUUUGUCAGAUGCUUAAUCAGUAGACAACUCCCUCCUCCCUCUCCUGGGUCUGAGAUGAGGCCAUCUAAUUUCCCAGUCUGCCCUACUGGAGAAAUACCUGGAGGGAGGAAGAAGAAGGGAAAAUGGCAGAUUGAGGAUUGAUUUAUUUAUGGUACUGCGAUAACUCUUCCUGGAAACAGAAAUGGGUGUGGGAAAUGACCUCUUCUUUACUUCUCCCCUAUUGAAUCCACUGACAAUGAAGGUGUCACUGCAUGGUCUUUCAAGAACAGGAUCAAGGUAUGGGAU
rnacentral:lncRNA from 1 species